CUCCUACGGAGGCAGCAGUGGGAAUCUUGCACAAUGGAGGAAACUCUGAUGCAGCGACGCCGCGUGAGCGAUGAAGCCCUUCGGGGUGUAAAGCUCUUUCGACGGGAACGAUAAUGACGGUACCCGAAGAAGAAGCUGCGGCUAACUACGUGCCAGCAGCCGCGGUAAUAC
rnacentral:rRNA from 1 species